ACUCUAGCAUUGACUCCAAUCCACAUGUGUUGAGGUGGAUUGGGGUGUAAAUUAGUUUAAGUUACACCCCAAUACAUCUCAAUACAAGUGGAUUGGAGUUAAUACUAGA
rfam:Zea mays cultivar B73 chromosome 8, whole genome shotgun sequence.